rnacentral:rRNA from 1 species
AACGAACGCUGGCGGCAUGCCUAACACAUGCAAGUCGAACGAGACCUUCGGGUCUAGUGGCGCACGGGUGCGUAACGCGUGGGAACCUGCCCUUAGGUUCGGAAUAACUCCCCGAAAGGGGUGCUAAUACCGGAUAAUGUCUUCGGACCAAAGAUUUAUCGCCUUUGGAUGGGCCCGCGUUGGAUUAGCUAGUUGGUAGGGUAAAAGCCUACCAAGGCGACGAUCCAUAGCUGGUCUGAGAGGAUGAUCAGCCACACUGGGACUGAGACACGGCCCAGACUCCUACGGGAGGGAGGAGUGGGGAAUAUUGGACAAUGGGCGAAAGCCUGAUCCAGCAAUGCCGCGUGAGUGAUGAAGGCCUUAGAGUUGUAAAGCUCUUUUACACGGGAUGGUAAUGACAGUACCGGGAGAAUAAGCACCGGCUAACUCCGUG